CAGGAGGUAUCUCAAGCCAUCAUAGAAGCUGUUAAAGCGCAGAUACUCUGGACAAUUCCCAGAAUGAAUGAAUACUCUGAGAAGUCCUUGGUGAUGGAUACAUUCAGAGAUAUGGUAUCAUCUUCGUAUGAGGAUAUUCAGCCUAUUUCAGUACCUCCAGAAUCAGCACAAGUGGACCAUUUGAUUUCCAGAGUCUGUAGGACCUUACAUCUGAAAGAAUCGUCUAAGGUUGAGCCUUCUACCUCUAGCCUUUCUUUCGGAUCUCAGAAAAAGCAGAGCAUCUUUUCCAGUUCCCGGUACCACUAAUAUCCUUAUUAUGGAAUAAUGGUUCUACACUGAAGUUUUCAACACAAGGGAGCUUCUUGCGUCUUCAUCCAUUGGGAUAUCAGAUGUUUGUACCUGGGACUCUGCUCCUAAGUGGACGAUGAAGUCUGGCUAAAUGUUCAACUCUGCCUGUUCAACAAUGCGGGAUCUCUCUGAGAUUCCAUGGAGCAUAGAUGGUCUUUGUGGUGAAAGCACCUUCGUCACUGGUGUUUGGAGGGGCCUGCUUGCCAGCCUCUUUCCCCAAGACUAUGGCCCAUAUGUUACCAUGGGUCCUAUGGCUAUGGAAAGGCUUGUUUGUGCCUUUCCCCUGAAAUGGUUCGGUAUUUGGGGUUACCGAACAAACUGUUGAACAGCUGGACCACCCGCAACUGGAGUGUGUCCCUCAUUUACCUCCCAGGAGCUGUGGUUAACCACAGCUAAUUGACAAACAGCUGGGUGGUUGCCGUUCGUAUAGUCGAACACGUGGCGACAGCCAUCUUGUUUAGUCGAACGCGUUCAUCGGUGUUUGAGUUCAUGGAACUCAAAUCAGACACACGAUGGCACGAACACCGCUGAACUUUACCUUCUCUGGAACUUCGACUCUUCGAUGGGAGUCGAACGGCAUUUGCCAAUACGAACGACACUUUAAGUUUGACUAGGUGCACGAACGGUUCCCGUUCGGCUAUUUGAACUGAACUUAGACAUUGAAAAUAGACCGACCCUGAUAGCUAAAAGCUAUGGAACUAAUUGUGGACCGAUUUCUGCCGAACGGUCGGUGAAAACUCUUUAACUCCAUGGCGAUUCGACUAUUUUCGUAGGAUCUGAGCACUGUUCGGAUAUAAUGAGCACUCAGAUCCAAGCUAUCUGGGGAUAUGUAAGGUUUCAGUUAUGUGAAGUGUGAGUUAUGUAUUUUAAUGUGUUUUGUUGCAGUUGUAACUGGCCAAUCAGCAUCUCCUCAUAGAGAUGAACUGAAUCAAUAAAUCUCUAUGAGGAAAGUUCAGUGUCUGCAUGCAGAGGGAGGAGACACUGAAUCACAGGAUGCUGUGCACAGUGCUGCCCUGUGCUCUGCUGACAGCAAAUCUGAGUGGAUGGACGCAUAUUAUGCCUCCAUCAACUCCGAAGUCCCUCUGGUUCACUCUGAGUGACUGCAACUGGAGGUGUUCCUAGCUUUCAAUGUAAACACUGUAUUUUCUCAGAAAAUACAGUGUUUACAUGAGAAAGGCUGCAGGGAGCUAUAGUUCUCACCUGAACAACUUCAUUAAGCUGAAGUUGUUCAGGUGACUAUAGUGUCCCUUUAAGUUUACCACGGCCACUUAAGCCAGUUAUCUCCAGGAAAGAGAGGAGGGAUUUUACUGUUUCGGUGGGAGUGUUUCACAUUGUAUUAUAUUUUGAUUGGCCAUUGUAAUUGUAUUCCAGUCCUCCACAAGGUCCCUGUGGGAGUGUCCCUUGCUGGAGGACCUGCAUAAAAGGCCAAGCUAUGGCCACCAUUAAACAGAUGAAGUUUCGGCUCAUGUUUGGGGAUUGGAGAACUACACUCUGGGGAUUGCUAUAAUCACUAUACUCCCCAGGGUAUAAUCACUAAGUUCUGGUAAGAGCUUGUUCCUCUUCCUGAUCUCUGGAUUCAAGAGAGGUCUACCUACUGGAAGCUGGACCCUGGUCUUGGGUCCAGAGUGGGUGGAAGACGGUGAGACCCCAACCAAGCAGUGGCGGUUCGUGGAGUCUGCAGUGGUUAUGGUGUCUGGUGGAGUGCUUGGAGCCCUCGGGAAGCACUAGGAGCAUCCGUCAACGCAAGGUACGCGGUCAGGGUGCCAGGCUUUCCGUUACAUUCUUGAUCCUAUCUAAUAACCUAUGUAGCAGCUGACACAUGCUUUCACCCUGCGGCAAACGCUCAAUCUCUAAGGAUCUAAGAUUGGUAUGGAUAGAUAAUCUUCCUUUUGUCUGUUGACAUUACAAGUCAUUAAGCCGGAAAUAGUCUUCAGCUAAGAAGCUAUCAUAGGUUAUACCAGAAAUAUGACUCUCUUUGUCUACUAGUCAGGUUCUUUGGCUCAAUACCUGCUCCGUGUAUGUAUCCUCCGAGAUGAAUGGAUCAAAGAAUGGGAGAGGGAAGGAAAGCUUGUCUACUGCAAGACCUAAAGUUCAGGAGACCAUUUUGAUCCAAAUCCUCUCAUUCCCUUCCUUCAUGAACCCUAGUAUUUCACACCUGGAAGAGCGUAUUGUAGAUCUCAACCUUGAGAAGUGGUUAUUCCUCUUCCAGAGGAAGAGAAGAGGUAAAAAGAGAUGCAUUGUGAAUUUCAAAGCCGCUACAACACAAAGAUUCGGUUUCUAACAGGCGGAUGGAGAUCCAUUUUAGAUCUACAUAAGUUUACAGGAUGAAGAACAUUCUAAAUUGGUCUUUCAGUCAAAGUUACUAAUACUAAGUAAAGAUUACUUAGUAUUAGUAAUUUCUGCCCUACUCGCUAUACUGCGAGUAGGGGCAUGUCUAGUAAACAGCCUGUGGCUGCUCACUGUUAAAAAAAAAAAAAAAAGUCCCCCCCACUCCCGACCCCCCACCCGUGCCCUGAGUGGCGGGUAGGGGCCCUAAAUUACAAUAAGGGGGGGACCUAUUGUCCUACCCCCCGGCCCUCACCCCUGAGCGGCGAAUAAGGGCCCUAAAUUAGAAUAAGAGGGAACCUAUUGUCCUCCCUCCCGGCCCUCACCCCUUGAGCGGCGGGUGGGGGCCCUAAAUACCAAUUAGGGGGGGACCUAUUGUCCUCCCUCACGGCCCCCAACCCUAAGUGGCAGAUGGAGUUCUUAAAUACCAAUAUGGGGGGGAUACCUACUGUCUUCCCCCGGCCCCCACCCCUGUGUGGCAGGUGGGGCUCUAAGUUAGAAUAAGGGGGAGGACCUAUUGUCCGGGGGGAGUACAAUAGUUCCCCCCCUUAUUCUGAUUUAGGUCCCCCACCCGCCACUCAGGGGUGGGGGAUGAGGGGAGAAUACAAUAUUUUUGAUUUAGGGCACUCAUGCAUUGCUCAGGGGGGAGGGCCAGGACACACAUGAUAGGUUCACCCCAUUGCCAUCCAGGGUACCCACCCUCCGCUCAGUGAGAUCCCCCCUUCAGUUUAAAAGCCCCCACUCGCGUGGCUCAGGAGGGUUAACACUUCGGUGGUUUUCUUUUGUUUGUUUUUUUAACUGUGAGCUGGGUUGGGGAAACUGUGGCCUACAUGACUCCUUUCUCCUUCUUCUAUGGUACAAGUGCAAGUGACUGUGCCAUUCGGGAAGGACUGGGACAUUAACAUUUGUAGUAUAUGCUGUCUGCACUAUAAAUAUAUGUUUUUUUUAGUUUUUUACAUGAACUAUGUUAUACUGAACUGAACACAUAUGAAUAUUAAUACAUAUUCUGCAUGUUUAAAGUUUAUUGGAAUAUGGAAUGCCCUUUGAAUAAUUUUCUUUUUUGCGAUGACUGCACUUUAAGGAGUUUCAUAGUGCAACACUUUCUUUUCUUGGAAAAUAUUCCAAAUCAGCUAUAGUCACUUUCUAUUUGGAUUUCAAUUCCACAAUUCCUUGUUUAUGGUUAUCCAUUAAACUCUGCAUAGACCUCGGAUUUGCAGUAUUGAGUUAAAACCCAGAAUUUUACCUGUAAUGAAAAUUUGGAUGUGUGCUUAUAUUAAUUUGGAAAUUCAUUCAGGGAAUCGCACCAAGUAUGCUUUAUUUGGUUUGGAACAAGAAGACUAAUAUUCAUACGGUGAUUGUCAAAAAAACCUCUUAUGGUGCCUUUUUUCCAUCAACGAUACUACUGGAACCUUUCCAAUCUGUAUCCGUUUAAAACCCAUUGCUAUCACUCAACAAAUUACAUUAUAACAAUAUUUACAACAUCACAGCUAUAAAAAAAAAUCAUUUUUUGUUUUCAUUCAGAUCAUUACUUUUGAGGUUUUUGCAGCUGUAACUCAAUCAGCCAGGUAUAUUCAUGUAUUUCCAUCCUUUCAAAUGAAAUAAUUAUGGUUUAUGAAUUAAGCUGAAUUAAUUGUAGGGGCCUGAGUUAAUCAAAGGUUAUACCCAGAAGUAUAUAAUUGUUUGUAAUUAUAGUGCUUAUUAAAUUAUCACAAAUGACUUCUUACCCAGGUGUCUAAAUUACAGUAGAUAGAAAGAACACCUAAUUUUACAAAUGUUUUAAAAUUACUCUUCAGAUCUUUUCCAAAUAACUCCUUGUAUGGAGUUCAUAUGAUAUAAUAUAAUUAGUGAUGUCCCGAACGGUUCGCCACGAACGGUUCGCCGCGGACUCAUCAUUGAGUAAACUUUGAC